CUAUGCAUGAUGGGAGAUGGGAGACAAGAAUCAGUUUAGUUCAGUUUUCUUUGUGCAGCCGAUUGCAGUGGAUGGAUUGUUGUUUAGUGUAGUGCAAUAAUCUAUUACGAUCGGCAUCUGUUAUUAUUUAGUGUUGGUGUCAAAACGAACAGUGUUUUAAAAUGCGUCACGCCCUACAGUGCUCGAAUUUCAAUCGUCAAUCGCGCCAGUGAAAAGAAUCGGUUACACAGAGGCCAGUGAACGACAUUUUCAACAACCAUUCUUCGACAAACGACAAGCCACACUGUUUCAAGCAGCACACUAUGAAAACCAGAACUCUAGCAGCCCCGACAAUAUUUAGCUGAUUGAUGUUCAGGGCCUUCCAUUUGGUCGGAAACUAUUAUUAUUUUGAUGCUUUCGUCCAAAUUCUCAAACGAUAUUGAUUGAUUUGAUACGGCACUCGCACCAGAUACAUCACAACAUUUAGGCCAAUCUUUCACUAAUUUACUGAAUGAAUACGCGUAAAUUCUUACACAAUACUCAAACUUCAUCACCUUAGCAACGUUCUUGUGAUAUUAUUCGUUAGAUUUAUGUCAGAAAUACUCAAUAUUCGUCACUUUAUUGUUUCAGUGUUCCGUGUAUGAUUAGAUCUAUGUUUCACACCUUUGUGUCAAUUUUUGUCUAACCUCAAAAUUAUCUGAUCGGUCUCUCAGUUCUAGUCGCUCCACCUGACCUAACCAAAUUUUUUUAAUGUUGAUGUUGAUCAUUUCUGGCUGUUAUUUGUGGCUGAAUGAGCUUGAUCGGAAUUUGUGACGGUGCAGUUUAGAAUGGCUGUUGUAGGGCCCAGUCGUCACUCAAGAGUGCCCGUUAGCAUGCCUUUAAUGCAGGGAACAGGAGCUGCUAGUUCGGCAGGACAUCAGCAGGCUAUUUUAGCAGCUGCGCAGCCCUACUAUCAUCCUCAGCAUGCUCAUCAAGCUCCGGCAGCUACUCCACAGAAUGUGCAGCCCGACAGACCCAUUGGAUAUGGAGCUUUCGGCGUUGUUUGGGCAGUGACAGACCCCCGUGAUGGCUGCCGAGUGGCCCUCAAAAAACUGCCCAAAGUUUUCCACUCACUCGUCUCAUCGAAGCGAGUUUUCCGGGAACUAAAAAUGCUCUGCUUCUUCAAACACGAAAACGUUCUCUCCGCCUUGGACAUUCUACAACCACCUCAUUUAGACUUCUUCCAGGAAAUUUACGUGAUUACUGAGCUGCUGCAAAGUGAUCUGCACAAAAUCAUCGUUUCGCCGCAACAUCUGUCUGCCGAUCACAUCAAGGUCUUUCUCUACCAAAUAUUGAGAGGUCUGAAGUACCUCCAUUCAGCCAGAAUCCUACACAGAGACAUCAAGCCAGGAAAUCUUUUGGUUAACAGCAAUUGUGUACUAAAGAUCUGCGACUUUGGCCUGGCCAGGGUGGAGGAGCCAGACCAAUGCAAAAAGAUGACCCAGGAGGUGGUGACCCAAUACUACAGGGCGCCCGAGAUCCUGAUGGGAGCUCGCCACUACAGCGCUGCCGUCGACGUGUGGAGUGUCGGCUGCAUUUUCGGCGAACUGCUCGGUCGGCGAAUUCUGUUUCAGGCGCAGAGUCCUGUGCAGCAGUUGGAGUUGAUCACCGACCUGCUGGGGACUCCGUCGCUGGACGACAUGCGUCACGCGUGUGAGGGCGCACGCACGCACAUGUUGCGUCAACGCGUCAAACCCCCCUCCCUCACUGCCCUCUACACGCUCUCAUCGCAGGCCACACACGAGGCCGUUCAUUUACUCUGUCAGAUGUUGGUGUUCGACCCGGACAAGCGCAUCACAGUGAUGGACGCCCUGGCGCACCCCUACCUGGACGAGGGCAGACUGCGCUACCACUCGUGCAUGUGCAAGUGCUGCUACACCAACUCGGCCAACAGUCUGCGUCAGUUUACGCCCGACUUCGAGCCCAAGACGCCGCACGCCUUCGACGACCUCUGGGAGAAGAAGCUCACCUCGGUGCAGCAGGUCAAAGAGGAGAUGUACAAGUUCAUAGUGGAGCAGCUGAACACCCGGCGUGUGCCACUGUGCAUCAACCCGCAGUCGGCCGCCUUUAAGAGUUUUGCCAGGUAAGGCAAUGGCUCAGGUCCACCUCUCAACACUUCCUCACUCACUCAUCAAACAAUCCCGUUCAACGGUGGCACACCCCUCUGAGCUGCCCCCCUCGCCACACCAAUGGGAGUGACAUUUUCUACAGCCUAGGAUAUUGUUUCGACAGUUCAUUGGCUGAGCAAAAUAAAUGUAAAAAACGCAAACAAAAUGAAGAAACCCAACGAAAAAAAUAAAGACUUUCGAAAAAUUCGUGGAGACAUCUCUGUCUGCGAGACCUGAUCGCGACGUUAGUUUUUGUGUUGUAACACUUUAUUGUCAGACUUUUAUGUGUUUUUGUCACAAAUUUAUGUGUUGUGUCAUGAAUUUUUGUGUUUUGACACUUUGGAAACGUUAUGUUCCCCAGUUUUGGAGGACUAGUUGUUUGUUGUGUUCAAUGUAUUCUCUCAAAUAACUGAAACUGUAUGGAAUUGUUUUGAGUUACUAUCUCGAAGCUGGAACUUUUUACUAACUAGUUACUGUAGUUUUGAGUUUGUAUCUCAAAAUUGGAACGUUUUACUUUGAACUAGUUACUGUAUGGUAGUGUUUUGAGUUACUAUCUCAAAACUGGAACUCAUUAGUUCUCUAGAGUUACUCUAACUUUGAGUUACUCUCCCAAAACUGAAACGUUUUGAGUUACUCUCUCACAAGAACAUGUCUGUGUUUGUAAUUAAACUGAUGAAUUAUUUUGGUAUUCAGCUACUUAUUCAUGUAGUAGUUUGAAUUUGAUUGUAUCUAGUUUGUAUGUACAUUGAUUAUUUUAGGAGGGCUAAUAAUAUUGGAAGAGGUGGUAGAAAAGAAAAUGACUGUUAACGAAAUUUUUUCAAACAAAAGGCUGAUAGAAUUUGACUGCUAAAUUGAGUCGAUGCUCCUGAAAUUUGUUCGUAUUGCCUGGGCAGUACCGUUUAUGUUUUAGGUUAGGGUUUAUUUUUGUAAUUAUUUGUGGAAUGUUAGGUUAAGUUAGGUUGUCAGUGAUCAGUUGACACCAGUGUAUUUGUAAAAAACGGAUGGUUUAUGUAAUAUUUGUAACAACUAUUGUAAGUUUAUGAAUAUUAAUUGGUUUUAUUAAGAUGAUGGAGCAUAUUUUGUCUUCGCAUUGUUGACAAAAUAUUUUGAAAAGCUUUCAUUGAAUAAUUGUCGUGGGCUGCUUGGAAAAAUCAACAAUUUGAUGAACUUUGUAGCUCGAAAAUGUUGGCUACCUGCUGGAUGGGUACCUACCCAACAUCUGAGAACCAAUUUGAGUUUUUUCAAGCAUUUUGGCUCUUGUUAAUGAAAUAAUGUUUUUUUUAUGAUUCUUGAAGAUUUCAUGACACAUCAUAAAAUUAAUGAAUGGGGAAUUUGUUUCUCAUUAAUGUAAGUAUCAUUAUAUAAAGCUAUGAACAGCCAAAAUCUGAAGAAAUGAUAGAAAAGAAAGAAAAAUGAUGAGGAAUGAUGUAGAAGUAGAAGUAAAGAGUAAAAAACCUCCUGUUUUAAUGCUUCUCUGUGCUCACUGUGAUAAGUAACAAAUUUCAGAAUGCAAUUUUCCAUAAAUUUUACAAUUUAUUUCCAACUCUGCUUACUGAUAACGUUGUAGAACUUCGUUAGUAGAAGCUGUCGGCAUGAGUAUUCAACACAAUUCAUUCAUGAUUUUUUGUAAUAAUGCUCUUAAUUUUCUCUGAUAGUUCAUGUUUUUCUGUCAAUGAACAACUGUAUAAAGUGUAGAGAUUAUUAUCGAUAGUAGAAUUUGUAAAUUUCAAAAAACAGAACCACGCAGGCGAAAAAAUCCCACUGUAAAUAGAUGAUUAUUGCUUUAUGUGUUUUAUGAAUAAAGUAAUAUUUAUUGUUCUAGUAGAUGUAACGUAGGUAGUAGUUGAUAUUCCGGAGCAUGACGAUUUACAAAUUCAAAUUUCUCCCCCAUAAUCAAACAAGUUCUUGUAAAUUUGUAAAAUAUAGUGAUUUUCAGUGUCUUCUCAAUAUUUAUUGGGGCUAGAUUAAAACUGAUGGUGUAGUUAAUUGAUGAACUAUAACUGUGCAGUAACAUUUUCAACAUAAUUCGAUGUUUUUCACAUAUAAUGGAUGUUUAUCAGCUAUACUAGAUUGAAUCGAAAAUAUUGAACUCUAGGCUCGAUGAUAUAAGAACCCCGUAGAUGUGUGUACUAGAUUGCAACUAAUCACUUUAAAAUCAAUUGAAAUCCUUCCCCUACAACGAAAUCGGAUAUUGUUUUUUUUCACACCAUUGAAAAUUACUUCGCCUUAUUUACUGUAAUAUUAUUCAAGUAAACCAUUAACCAACGCCAAGUUUGUUUUAUAAAUUUGGGACUAAUAUAUUUUCAAGUAGCCUAAGGGCCGAUUUCUGAGCUCGGGGUCUAUAGUUUCUGGACUUACAGUGUCCUGGACUAAAAUAAGCACUCAAACGUUGAGUAUAAGAAGAAUAUAAUCGUUUUCAAUCAAAACAGUACUUAAUAAUAAUAUUAUUCAAAUGUCGGUUGUAAGAGAGAAAUAAUUUACAAUGGAACGUCUGUUCUAUUCACAGCUAUGUUGAAAUAAGUUGAAAUUUGGGUACAAACCACAAGAAUUCAACAACUUUGAAAAAACUACUCAAAUUUUGAAAAAGGUAAAUCUUAAUAUUGAAUAAACAACAGACAUUUUGGUAAAAUGUGGGCGAUUGACAAGAAAAGAAUUCUAGUAAACUGGUUUUACAAUUCAUGUUGAAAAUGUAGCAUCAAAAAAGAAAUGAAGGGGAGUUGAAUCAGGAUCCCGAUAAAAUAUUCUCUAUAUUGUAAACUUAUCUAAAUUUGGGAGAGGAAUAGCAUAAGGUUACCUUAUUUUUUCUCUCCCUAUCAAUUUUAAAUGAUGUACUUAUUGUAGGAAUCAAUAAAGAAUUAUUGUAAAAACUCACUUCCUAAAUCAAAGUUACACAAGAAUAAAUUUAACUAAAAAUUAAAUAAAAUAAAUAUAAUUUUAUUGCCAUUCAUCUGAUCAUAGUUACAGACAACGUAAUAUUCUAAUUCUAAUACAACACACAACAAAUUCGAAUUCAAUUUUUAAUAAAAAUCAACACAUAUAUUCCUGAUCAUAUACAUUUAUGAGGUUCUGCAAAACCAAAAUCCCUUUAAAUAUUUUUCAUGUUUGAAUUUUUCAACAAUCUCCCAUUUUGCUAUUUGAGAUUAUUUUUCAAUUAGUUCAUUUUUCAACGAGAUUAAAAAUUCGGCUGAUGAUAUUAAACAGAAGUAUUGUGUUCGUAAUGUUAUUGCUUCGUUUAUUUUUUUAUAAUUUCAUUAUUUUGUGUCCCAUAUUUUUUUGUCGUGUCGGAAUUCCAAAGAUCUCAUCAUUAUCCUACAUUUCGCGAGAAAUGCAUUAGUUGUAAAUACUAUCAGCAAUUUGUGUUUAUCACUUGUCAUUAAUUAUAAGUUUUUUAUGUUCAUUCUAACUCACUAGUGUAGGAUACAACGUAUAUGCAUGUGCUACGAAUUUUAUCAUUCUCUGAUAAUCGGAAAGUGUAUGUAGUUUGCUAUUUUUGAAAUACUUGUCAAUAUUUCAAGAAUUAUUAUUUUUAGUAACUAUUAUUAUCUCGUAGCUAGUUCAAUUUUGAUUUCUUGGAAAGAGGGCAUUCUAGCUAAUCAGUAGAUAGUUAUUGUGUUUGUAACUAAAACUAACUUCUCAAAUUUAUUUACUAAGCUGUGUCCUGUAGUUUUUGUAUCUUAUUAGGUUUAUUUGUUCUAAACUUGUAAUUUACUAGUAGUUUUCUAGUAAUGAUCUAGUUUGAACUAGUAAUUCACUAGUUUAGAAUACCUUUCACUUAGUUUAGACAAUC